rnacentral:rRNA from 1 species
UACAGAGGUCUCAAGCGUUGUUCGGAAUUACUGGGCGUAAAGGGUGCGCAGGCCGCGCGGGCAGUCAAAUGUGAAAUCCAGAGGCUCAACCUCUGAAUUGCGCUUGAUACUUCCGUGCUAGAACUUUGGAGAGGGAUCUGGAAUUCUCGGUGUAGCAGUGAAAUGCGUGGAUAUCGAGAAGAACACUCAGGGCGAAGGCAAGAUCCUAGACAAAUGUUGACGCUCAUGCACGAAGGCUAGGGUAGCGAAC